UGGGGCAAAUGACUGGGACGAAGUCGUAACAAGGUAGCUGUACCGGAAGGUGCGGCUGGAUCACCUCCUUUUAAGGAGAC
rnacentral:rRNA from 1 species